CUAAUGAAAUAAUUUUUGAAAAAUACUUUAGUAAAGGAAACUCUGUGUGGCAUAGAGGAGCAUAGGACCUUGUCCUGUGAUGUACCAUCCCUUUCCACCCCACUGGAGAUCAAGCCGGGCCUUGAGUCUGCACCUGCUUGUUCCUGCAGCCUCUCAGAGACCUCUGGACCACGACUGGGGAGAUCAACCAUGUAGGAAACAGUA